CUGCUCCUCUUCCCACCACCAUCACCACCUCUGUCUCCACUGCUUCAGCUGAUGUUCCUUGCAGGCCACCAGCUAUGAGCCCAGCAGCACCUGAACAGGAGGCUGUGGAUGAGCAUAAUAUUCCAGGGAUGGACCGAGUGAACAGCCUGGCAGAGUACUUGGUGGCACUGCGGACUGAAAAUGCACAGACCCUUUCUAAUCAGCAGGCCAGCACCAUCAUUGCUCUGUGGCAAAAUUUACUGCCACAUGAUCAGCAGCGUGUGGCCUACGCCGCUCGGCACCAAGUGCGCCUGACCACCGGGCGGUAUAAACAACCCAAGUCCAAAGCAGAAUUUACACCAGGGGUGGAGAGCAUGACCCGCUGUGUCCUCGGUUCCUCGGGAUCUCCUGCCCAGUGGCCAGACUGUUGUCGCCUGGUGGAAUCAGUCUUCAUAAAGCUCUGCAACAUUCACAAGAGCCCCC